GAUGAACGCUGGCGGCGUGCCUAAUACAUGCAAGUCGAGCGAACAGACGAGGAGCUUGCUCCUCUGACGUUAGCGGCGGACGGGUGAGUAACACGUGGAUAACCUACCUAUAAGACUGGGAUAACUUCGGGAAACCGGAGCUAAUACCGGAUAAUAUAUUGAACCGCAUGGUUCAAUAGUGAAAGACGGUUUUGCUGUCACUUAUAGAUGGAUCCGCGCCGCAUUAGCUAGUUGGUAAGGUAACGGCUUACCAAGGCAACGAUGCGUAGCCGACCUGAGAGGCUGAUCGGCCACACUGGAACUGAGACACGGUCCAGACUCCUACGGGAGGCAGCAGUAGGGAAUCUUCCGCAAUGGGCGAAAGCCUGACGGAACAACGCCGCGUGAGUGAUGAAGGUCUUCGGAUCGUAAAACUCUGUUAUUAGGGAAGAACAAAUGUGUAAGUAACUAUGCACGUCUUGACGGUACCUAAUCAGAAAGCCACGGCUAACUACGUG
rnacentral:rRNA from 1 species